GUCCACGCCCUAAACGAUGAUGACUAGUUGUUGGAGGAGUUAAAUCCUUUAGUAACGCAGCUAACGCGAUAAGUUCUCCGCCUGGGGAGUACGGCCGCAAGGUUAAAACUCAAAGGAAUUGACGGGGCCCGCACAAGCGGUGGAGCAUGUGGUUUAAUUCGAUGCAACGCGAAAACCUUACCUGCCCCUUGACAUCUGGCGAACUUUCCAGAGAUGGAUUGGUGCCUUCGGGAAUGCCAUGACAGGUGCUGCAUGGCUGUCGU
rnacentral:rRNA from 1 species